GGCAAAGGAGACAACGCCAUCGCUGCUGGAGGAGAUGGUGGACGAGCGGCUGGACGAGCAGUUGGCGACAUGGAGGAGGAAGAUCAGUUCUUGGCUGCGGAUACUUUGUCUGUUCUUCCUCCUGCUGAUGGUGGCCAUCUUCUUCCUGCUACUGAUGAAGAGGGACACCCUUAACUGGGUCCUGCCACCGAAAAUGGCAGCUGCCCUUAGGAGCCCGCCGGCGACACCCCAGUUCUUUUGACAUCAAACUAAAAAGAGAAUAAAGAGAUGUGUGAUUGGAGGACACGUGUGUCUCCUUG